rnacentral:rRNA from 1 species
UACGUAGGCAGCGAGCGUUGUUCGGAAUUACUGGGCGUAAAGAGUGUGUAGGCGGUGCUCUAAGUUCGGUGUGAAAUCUCCUGGCUUAACUGGGAGGGUGCGCCGGAAACUGGAGUGCUCGAACGUGGGAGAGGAAAGCGGAAUUCCUGGUGUAGCGGUGAAAUGCGUAGAUAUCAGGAGGAACACCAAUUGCGAAGGCAGCUCGCUGGGACGUUACUGACGCUGAGACGCGAAAGCGUGGGGAGCAAACAGG